rnacentral:rRNA from 1 species
GACGAACGCUGGCGGCGUGCUUAACACAUGCAAGUCGAACGGAGUGGCGAACGGGUGAGUAACACGUGGGUGACCUGCCCUGCACUUCGGGAUAAGCCUGGGAAACUGGGUCUAAUACCGGAUAGUGUGGGAUGGGCCCGCGGCCUAUCAGCUUGUUGGUGGGGUAAGGGCCUACCAAGGCGGCGACGGGUAGCCGGCCUGGGAGGUUGGACGGCCACAAGGUGCCUGAGACACGGCGCAGAAUCCUACGGGAGGCAGCAGUGGGGAAUAUUGCACAGUGAGCGGAAGCCUGAUGCAGCGACGCCGGGUGGGGAAUGACGGCCUGCGGGUUGUAAACUCCUAUCUCAAUCGACGCGGUAGAUGGAGAAGAAGCACCGGCUAACUACGUGCCAGCAGCCGCGGUAAUAC